AACGAACGCUGGCGGCAUGCCUAACACAUGCAAGUCGAACGAGACCUUCGGGUCUAGUGGCGCACGGGUGCGUAACGCGUGGGAACCUGCCCUUAGGUUCGGAAUAACUCCCCGAAAGGGGUGCUAAUACCGGAUAAUGUCUUCGGACCAAAGAUUUAUCGCCUUUGGAUGGGCCCGCGUUGGAUUAGCUAGUUGGUAGGGUAAAAGCCUACCAAGGCGACGAUCCAUAGCUGGUCUGAGAGGAUGGUCAGCCACACUGGGACUGAGACCCGGCCCAGACUCCUACGGGAGGGAGGAGAGGGGGAUAUAGGAAAAUGGGGCGAAGCCUGAACCAGCAAGGCCGGGUGAGUGAUGAAGGGCCUAGGGAUGUAAAGCGCCUUUACCCGGGAUGAUAAUGACAGUACCGGGAGAAUAAGCACCGGCUAACUCCGUG
rnacentral:rRNA from 1 species